rnacentral:rRNA from 1 species
GACGAACCGUCCAAACGUUAUUCGGAAUCACUGGGCUUACAGAGUUCGUAGGCGGUCUGGAAAGUUGGGUGUGAAAUCCCUCGGCUCAACCGAGGAACUGCGCUUGAAACUACCAGACUCGAGGGAGAUAGAGGAAAGCGGAACUGAUGGUGGAGCGGUGAAAUGCGUUGAUAUCAUCAGGAACACCGGUGGCGAAGGCGGCUUUCUGGACGGACACUGACGCUGAGACGCGAAAGCGUGGGUAGCAAACAGG